ACUAAAUUCCUUAUAGCCUCACUGAAUUGCUGAGGCUAGCUUUGACCCUCCUGAACCUCUGGGAUUCCAGGUGUGUGCCACCACGCCCAGCUUGACUGUUUGAACUGUCUCUUAUGCUGAGGAAUAUGGUAUAAACCCCACUGUACAGUGCUGAGAAUCAAACCCAGAGCCUCACAUAUGUCAGGGAGAAUAAAAGGAAACAGUACAGCAUGGUUGACUGGAAGCCUUCCUGCCCUUGGAUGUGUGGAAAGAAAGUGCACAUCAGGCCUGAAAGUCUCUGUGAUGCUAAAGAGAAGGCAUGGGGGAACUAGGACUGUGAGAGAGCUGAGUUGAGGUGGUGGUUAGAGAAUGAAAUAUUGGAGUUUUAAAUUUCUAGUGUGUUGACAAAAUUCAGGAUUGUUUUUGUUUGGAUCUAGGUGUAGGUGAAGAAUGGUAGAGGCAGUCAUGUACUGGUAAACCAGC